CGUAACAGGUACCCACUUCUCUAGGGGUAUAGUGCUGAACGGGUGAGUACCACUUGGGCAAUCUGCCCUGCACUCUGGGACAAGCCCUGGAAACGGGGUCUAAUACCGGAUAUGAGCCUGGGAGGCAUCUCCCGGGUUGUAAAGCUCCGGCGGKGCAGGAUGAGCCCGCGGCCUAUCAGCUUGUUGGUGAGGUAACGGUUCACCAAGGCGACGACCGGUAGCCGGCCUGAGAGGGCGACCGGCCACACUGGGACUGAGACACGGCCCAGACUCCUACGGGAGGCAGCAGUGGGGAAUAUUGCACAAUGGGCGCAAGCCUGAUGCAGCGACGCCGCGUGAGGGAUGACGGCCUUCGGGUUGUAAACCUCUUUCAGCAGGGAAGAAGCGAAAGUGACGGUACCUGCAKAAGAAGCGCCGGCUAACUACGUGCCAGCAKCCGCGGUAAUACGUAGGGCGCAAGCGUUGUCCGGAAUUAUUGGGCGUAAAGAGCUCGUAGGCGGCUUGUCACGUCGGAUGUGAAAGCCCGGGGCUUAACCCCGGGUCUGCAUUCGAUACGGGCAGGCUAGAGUUCGGUAGGGGAGAUCGGAAUUCCUGGUGUAGCGGUGAAAUGCGCAGAUAUCAGGAGGAACACCGGUGGCGAAGGCGGAUCUCUGGGCCGAUACUGACGCUGAGGAGCGAAAGCGUGGGGAGCGAACAGGAUUAGAUACCCUGGUAGUCCACGCCGUAAACGGKGGGCACUAGGUGUGGGCAACAUUCCACGUUGUCCGUGCCGCAGCUAACGCAU
rnacentral:rRNA from 1 species